rnacentral:lncRNA from 14 species
UCCUCGGAGGCUCUCAGUCACUACUGUGAUCCCAAGAAGGCACUGAGAUGUCACCACAAGGAGCUGCCCAGCCCUGGCCAUCACCCCUGGGGAAACAGGCUGGAACUGGACUCCUGCAAGUCACUAAUUCCCUGACUCAAGAUCUUUUGGACUAGAUUGAGCAUCCAGCCUGUGCUAGCCCUUGAGGCCAGGGAGGCUUUAACGAUGUGAACACUGCACAGGCCUUCCAGAACAUGCCUCCAGCAGAACCCCAGCAGCACAUCCAGCAGCUCUGCCCGACCGGGUCUGGAUGUGGACCAAUCAGCUGCAGCCAAGAGGCAGGAUCAGCGAUUCAGCCCUGUGGACAGAGGGACCAGAGCCUUUGGAUCCUCCUCUGCUUCCUGGUCCUCCUCCAGGCCCUGCUUAAUUAAAGCUGGUUCUCCUCU